AGCUGAUCAGCAUGCCGCGUGUGUGAAGAAGGCCUUCGGGUUGUAAAGCACUUUUGUCCGGAAAGAAAUCCUUGGCUCUAAUACAGUCGGGGGAUGACGGUACCGGAAGAAUAAGCACCGGCUAACUACGUGCCAGCAGCCGCGGUAAUACGUAGGGUGCGAGCGUUAAUCGGAAUUACUGGGCGUAAAGCGUGCGCAGGCGGUUUGCUAAGACCGAUGUGAAAUCCCCGGGCUCAACCUGGGAACUGCAUUGGUGACUGGCAGGCUAGAGUAUGGCAGAGGGGGGUAGAAUUCCACGUGUAGCAGUGAAAUGCGUAGAGAUGUGGAGGAAUACCGAUGGCGAAGGCAGCCCCCUGGGCCAAUACUGACGCUCAUGCACGAAAGCGUGGGGAGCAAACAGGAUUAGAUACCCCAGUAGUCAA
rnacentral:rRNA from 1 species